rnacentral:rRNA from 1 species
GACGAACGCUGGCGGCGUGCCUAAUACAUGCCAGUAGAACGCUGAAGGAGGAGCUUGCUCUUCUGGAUGAGUUGCGAACGGGUGAGUAACGCGUAGGUAACCUGCCUGGUAGCGGGGGAUAACUAUUGGAAACGAUAGCUAAUACCGCAUAAGAGUAGAUGUUGCAUGACAUUUGCUUAAAAGGUGCAAUUGCAUCACUACCAGAUGGACCUGCGUUGUAUUAGCUAGUUGGUGGGGUAACGGCUCACCAAGGCGACGAUACAUAGCCGACCUGAGAGGGUGAUCGGCCACACUGGGACUGAGACACGGCCCAGACUCCUACGGGAGGCAGCAGUAGGGAAUCUUCGGCAAUGGACGGAAGUCUGACCGAGCAACGCCGCGUGAGUGAAGAAGGUUUUCGGAUCGUAAAGCUCUGUUGUAAGAGAAGAACGAGUGUGAGAGUGGAAAGUUCACACUGUGACGGUAUCUUACCAGAAAGGGACGGCUAACUACGUG